GGAAGGUGCAAUGAGAAUAAGGGGCUUGUCUGAGCAGGGUGGGUUGGGGUGAAGUGUGUUUUCCACUUUUGAAAACUGCCUGUGAGCAAUUUGAAAUUAAACUUUCACAGAGUUGGUUCUCUUCAUCCCAGUGAAGAAUAACAGGAGAUUCUAUGUGGUAUGGGCCAACUACAAGUUCUCUAAAUGGCAGAGAGAGAGAGGGAACGAAGGAGGAAGUCACAGGUUCAAGGCUUACUUAAGAAGAAAGGGAUCCUGCAAAGAGUAUUUAAAGACACACUUUCACUGUCUGCUGAUGGCUGUUGACCACUGGGAGACUCCUGCCACUCUUAUCUUUGUAUGUAGCAAGACUUUUUAUCAGGAUAAUUAGGCUGUAAAGUUAUUAAUACUCUAAUAAAGCAGUGAGAAUUCAAGGGGAUUGAAGAUUAUUCAUCCUGAGGAUCAUGGAAUGCUUCCCAGAGGAGUUCAACACAUGAGCUGAGUGGAGCUUUUGUAUGGAACAAGCUGGUUGUGUUCACUGGUAUCUGGGAGAAAAGCAAGUACUUCCUCCAGGCUUUUGUGCUGUUCCCUUUGUUCUGUCACUUGGUACUGACCUUUUUGUGAGUAUCUGUUUUUGUUUGGGUGGUGAGUUGAAGGAGUUGCCAGCAUUGCUUGGCUAGAGAGGUUAUGAAAUUUUUCCUCAUGUGAUGUUCAUGGUGUGUGAUCACCUCUGCUUGGCUCAACAUUAGCACCUUCAGUGUGAUGGGCACCUCUGGAACAUGUCUAGUCCCCUUUGUACUCUUUCAUCUCAAUAAGCCAACCAAUGUCAUUGAGAUCUACCUACCUAUAUGCUGACAUCAAAUGGCAUGAAAUUUUGACUACUUACCACCCUAUGGGGUAAUUCUGGUGUGAUCAGGGGGAAGAGAACAGAAAAUAGGAUGCUUUUGGGG
ensembl:lncRNA